GUCGUAUCUCUUCGUGUUGUUUUGGCUAUAAUUUGAAUUCAUCAUCGAAGGAGAAAACAAAGUAAGUUAAGUUUGCAUUUAAACUGAAUUUAAAUGUGAAAUCAGAAAAUCCUUAUUGUUUACAUCAAACUGAAUUGACCCUUUAGAUGAGUACAUUCUUCUCCCCUGUGUUGAUGUUUUUAUUAUCAUUCAAAAGACGUCCCUUAUGAGUGAAUCCUCUUAUCAGGGCGAUCUGAUAAAGACAGCGCAGCAGUUACACUUAGAAGCCACACCUUAGAGUUAGAAUAAAUAAACAAUUUACAAUGUUAACAAAAUAAAUCACAUGUAAAGAACUUUUAAAUUCACAUGAAUUUACAAUAUUUGAGGAUGGCAAUUCAAAACUGUUUAUCAUUUACAAACAAUUAAAAUGAGGCCCCAUUAUAAAAUGUUUAUGCAUUUUGAUUGCAUUCAUUACUAUUAAUAAAUUAACAGAAUACAUUUUUCAAUGUAGAAAAGUGACUCUCAAAAUCACACCAAAUAAAUCCAGAACAGAAUCAGCUCCAGUAAUGUUAAUGUAGUUUCAACAUGUUUCUUUAUGACUGAUCUGCAGAUAAAGCAGAGAACAUGGAAAAUACCGUCUAUGAAGAUCCUCAGGUAAGGAGGAAUAUUUUUUAAUACCAAUUUCCCAAAUUAGUCAGAAGUGAAGAAAUUCUUGAACAAAUUAAUGAUUGAGAACUGAUGUAAAAAACCACAGCUCAUUUCUAGAUCCAUCACGACUUCUUCCCAACAGUUGUAAAUGUAUUAAACCUUUGAAGUUAUGGGGUGUUGUGGUUCUGUGUUGCAGGUUGAACCUAAUAGCUUUCUGAUUGACAUCAAAC